UCUAUAACAAACAAAUACUUUCCAUAGAUCAUCCAAAUCAGGAGAGUGAAAAUGAACAGUUAUUUUUGAGAAAUAAUAGAUGAGGACUUCAAAAAGACAAGAUUCAGAAAUGUCUAUAGCUGUUAAGACGCUGGGCAGGGGGGUGAGACAUUAAUUCCAAAACUUCAGGGAAUGUUUCAGGCUCUGUCAGCUGGAGCACUAUUGAUUCUUCAGAGUAAAAUCUGACAGGAGAGACAAAUGAAAAAUAUCUACUUGGCAGAACAAAAUGCUGCUAACCUGCAGAAGCUACAGUGAACUCCAAACAGAAUUUCUCAUAGGAUCUCCUUGUCAACGAGUAACAGGAACAAAACAGAUCUGACAGCAAAGCGAUGCCUACCAUCUCCAUUACAGACACGUCUCUGCCGUCUCCGGGACCCCAAUUACCUUUUCCUACUCCCUCCUAUCCAGUUGUUUUAGACGAAGAAUCUCUCAGGCACUCCUUCCCACUGCCUGCACAGCCAAGAACAGCUCAACACUUUGCUCAGAUGGUCAAAGUGUAAACUCAGCAAGAGACACUAAUCAGAGUGCACAACCCUCCAACUGGUACAAACAUGUAACACCAUUUACAAGUCAUCCACCAAAACAGUGAGUGUGUUCAAUUAAGAAAGAAAAUAAGGUCUGUAGAAUUGUGCUCUCCGUCUCAUAUACAUAUCUAAUUCUAUCAGUGCCAGUAGACUUAGUUAUUUCAUUGCUUUUUUACUAUAUUUUCGCUACAGUUCAGAUUACAGAGUGCCAAACAAAGCACAGAUAGGAGAAAAUAAGAUCCACAGUUCUCUUGAUAUCAUUUAGGUCACCUGUACAGAACAUAAUGCUUCAUCAAUGCAAAAAACAAUCCUCUCAAAGAAUCAAAAUCCACACUCAGGAUUGGCUUCCAGAAAGGAAAAACAAGCCAUCUGAAGACUGCACUGAAUCCUUGUAUUAUUUGGAAAUGGGAGCAAGGUUAGGUUUUUCCUUUGUUUCUAACUGUCUUAGUACAGUAAUGGCAUAGAAAAAAAACAACCAAACAAAAAAACCCCCAGACAGACAUGAAUUCUAUGGCAACAGACCACUGAAAAUGCAAAUAUAUUUUAGAUACUAUUUUAAAUUAAUCCUCAACUAUAAGUGAUGAUCAAAGCAAAAUACCAAUUAAUUAAGAAUUAUAUUUAUGGAACACUCAUAAGUCUAUUAGUCACUUGAAUGACCCUGAUAGCCCACAGAUUUUUAAAUAUGGCUUUAUUAACACAGAAAGGCAUGGUCUAUGUAAUAUGCAUGAUAAUGGAUUAUGUAAACUGCGUAGAUUUGCUUAAGUUCUUACAGUUCAAGUGAGAUAGGGAGAUAGGUCAGUUUCUCAGCUGUUCCUAACCAUAUUACCAGCUGCACAAAACAUUUGUGGCCAUUUCACAUCCAUGGUCCACUAAACCCUUGCAGUCACUGCUUUUCUUCCUCCUCCUCUGAAAAGAAACAGAACUGAAAUUCUCUGGGUGCUAACACUGAGUAUAUUAGAAACAGCAGAAACAGAGACAUAUCUGCAGCUGGAGCUGCAGCAAAGAUGAAUGAAGGGAAACUAUUCAUUAAAAGGCUAGAAGAAAAAAAAUCAUUAUUUUAAACAGUUACUAUGUACAACAUGCUAUUUAUCAAGAGAUAAAGAGAUUAGACAGAAUCCCGCUUUGUACUGAGCCCUGUAACACAUGGUGAACAUCACCUAUAGGCACUGUUAAAAGGCACUAUCCAUAAGAUAGGCUAGAUAUUCUGAAACAAGGAACAUUCUGUGCCUUGCAGUCACUAGUUCCAGUCAGAAUGCACCAUACUAGGAAAUUCAGAAACACAAAUAAACCCCUGAAUGUAUUUUACCUCUAUAAAAAUCCCAGUUCUUUCAAAUUAAGUGGCUUUUCAGAAUUAAAGUCGUUAUAAAUCCCAUAUGGAAGACCAUUUUUAUUAGAAGAUCUUAAGAGCAAGAUUUUAUUUUGGCAGCAGCAGUGAAGACAAAGGGCACAGGCAAGCCUCGGAAAAACUGCCUCAGCUAAGACUGCCCAGCGCUUCCUACUGUAACACCAUCUCUUCAGUUCUUAUAACUUUACCAAGCUCUAAUUGUUCAGACUAAAAUUUUCCAUGCUGGACUUUUGCCAAUUUUGAGAGACAUUUUUCAGAGUUUUUUUAGCCUCUUCCAAAAAAGAGGCUAGGGAAAAAUACACUGCUCUUUACAGAUUAAUGAAUUCCACUGACCCUUCCAACAGCUUGAGAGUACUAACACUUCAGAACAGGUAGGUCACUGAGUACAUCUGUUUGCCAACCCUGGGAAAACGCUCCUGAACUUGGCCAAGUACAAGUGUUUGUACAUACUGCUAAUUUAUGUACGCAGAAGAGAUUUAGAUUUUAGGAACUCAUUGAUCACCCUAUCCAAAUACUAUGCAGGAGGCAGGGAAGCCAUGCAUGGGGGACAUAAACGAUUAGAGACAGACUGAAAGUGAAAGAUGCACAAAUGAAGAGCCAACAUGAAAGCAGAAUCGGUAAGUGUCACCUGGGCACAGAAACUGGGAUAAAGGGUAGUAAAGAAUAAAAGUUGGCUGGUAAAGUGAAGGGGUCGAGAAGCAACAGCAGGAGUUUCAUCUAGGAGAAAAUGCAGGACGGCAACAAGCCAAGUCUGCACACUCCCCUCAAGAACUGGAAUGAAACCCCAAAUUGCUGUCUAGCAGACAAAUGGUGAGACUCAGUAUCUGCAGAACCGCAAUACAUCCUAUUUCCCUGUGGACCACAGAGAAGAUAACUACAUACUACCCUGCUAAAAUAAUACUCUUAAUUCAAAUUACAGAGGCUCGUUGGAUUGGAAGUUAUCCAUCUUGAUAAAGAACAACAUCUGUUUUUUUCCAACAUGUUUUUCAGAAAACCCUAAGAAUUUACAAGUAAUAAAACAAAGUUAAAGAAAAAUCAAAGGCUGCAAAACCAAGCUCUGAAAGUCUUUGCAAUUUUAAUUAGGCUUUUCUGUGCAUGUAUUUUAUGAGGAGUUUUUGAAGACACAAUCACAUACUACAACUUUCAUGAAAUCCCCAUUUUUUUCCCAGCAAACAGCGCUCUGAAAGUAAAUUAGUGCAGCACACGAAAAGGAAAAGCAUUCUGCAGACCUUUGUUGCAGUAUUUAGAAGCUGUGCAAUGGAGAAGGCAGGAGUUGAAGAACAAGAAAGAUGAUCCUAUGGCUGAUGCAGCUAAACGCUGCACUUGAAAACUGGUUUUAUCCCUGUUACUGAUAAAAUCCUUAGGGGAUGCCAGGAAAUCUGGGUAACUGUCUUAAGACCACAGGAUACUGCCAACCUGCAGAAAUACUUUGCAGAAGAACUAUGGAUAUGUUUGGAAUAUGAAGAGCUAUUAGAGACGGUAAUGUGAGAAAAGGAAUUGAAUGGGUUAGUACCUCCAAAUGAGUACCAAAAAUGGAUGGUUACAUUUGUCUUCUUUCUAUGACUCAGACCGCCCGAGCAGAAAAUACAAUUAUCUUCUCAGUCUGUUGUGAAAUUAAAUUAUUUUGUAGAGAACUAAA